rnacentral:rRNA from 1 species
UGCGAGUCGAGGGGACCCCCGGUACUAUCCUUCGGGCUAGUACCGGACCAGGUUUACCGGCGGACGGGUGAGUAACACGUGGAUAACUUACCUGGGAGUUCGGGAUAACAGCUCGAAAGGGCUGCUAAUACCGGAUAGCCCCAUGGUGUUGCAUAGUACUAUGGGUAAAGAAUAACCGUAAGGUUGUUCGCUCCUGGAUGGGUCCGCGGCCCAUUAGCUAGUCGGUAGGGUAAGGGCCUACCGAGGCGACGAUGGGUAGCCGGCCUUAGCGGGUGG